rnacentral:tRNA from 1 species
GCAGGUGUAGUUCAAUGGUAGAACUACGGCUUCCCAAGCCGUCAGCGCGGGUCCGAUUCCCGUCACCUGCUCCA